UACGGGGGGGGCAAGCGUUGUUCGGAAUUACUGGGCGUAAAGGGCUCGUAGGUGGCCAACUAAGUCAGACGUGAAAUCCCUCAGCUUAACUGGAGAACUGCGUCUGAUACUGGAUGGCUUGAGUUUGGGAGAGGGAUGCGGAAUUCCAGGUGUAGCGGUGAAAUGCGUAGAUAUCUGGAGGAACACCGGUGGCGAAGGCGGCAUCCUGGACCAACACUGACACUGAGGAGCGAAAGCCAGGGGAGCAAACGGG
rnacentral:rRNA from 1 species